AGGUGUCAGGAGAGUUCAGAUCCGUCUGGAGUGUGUGUGCUUGUGUGUGUGUGUGCGUGUUUGUGUGUGGAAGGGACGGUUUGGUUCUCUGGCCAGAGGGACUGAUCUGGUUGAAAAGAGGCUCUGCUGAGAUGUUCUUCCGCAUUCCUCUCCUGACACCCGGAUACAUUCGAUACCUGCAGACUCAGGCAGCGCGGACUGGUCUGCAGACGGAGGGCCCUGUCGUACCCAGAUUUGCCAUGCUGUUGGGCCUUCUGGGUAUUGGGAUGUCAGGAUACAGCUCUCGACAGCUGACCCUACACUACAAACCAUCGCCACAUCUCCUGCGGUGAAACACAAAGAGAAAACGCACCCAUUUUGACUAAAGGUGCAACAUUUCUUCAACACAUUCCAACAACAUCAGUAUUACCAGGCAACCACAUCAUGCUGAAGUUUGUGGUCUUGCUUUGGUUGCGAGGAUGGCCGAUCUUCAACCAAGCCUUUCCAAACGUAUUCUCUGGCAACAAUUUGAUUUAAGUUUUAGAAUCUAGGUAAAAUGGGUCUUUCUACGUGCUAUCUCAAUGUACAAAUAUCUCAAAAUUUCACUUUGUGAAGUUUAUUCAUAAACAAAUUUUGAGA